CGGGAACUCAAAGGAGACUGCCAGUGAUAAACUGGAGGAAGGUGGGGAUGACGUCAAGUCAUCAUGGCCCUUACGACCAGGGCUACACACGUGCUACAAUGGCGCAUACAAAGAGAAGCGACCUCGCGAGAGCAAGCGGACCUCAUAAAGUGCGUCGUAGUCCGGAUUGGAGUCUGCAACUCGACUCCAUGAAGUCGGAAUCGCUAGUAAUCGUGGAUCAGAAUGCCACGGUGAAUACGUUCCCGGGCCUUGUACACACCGCCCGUCACACCAUGGGAGUGGGUUGCAAAAGAAGUAGGUAGCUUAACCUUCGGGAGGGCGCUUACCACUUUGUGAUUCAUGACUGGGGUGAAGUCGUAACAAGGUAACCGUAGGGGAACCUGCGGU
rnacentral:rRNA from 1 species